AGAUAGUGCCGUACAUGACGUGCAUUUUGAAGAGGAUUUUCAGGAAGAUGAUGGUAAUUCAACCCAACCUAGCACAGAUGGUGGUGGUGGUGCUUUAGGAGAUGACAUUGAUAUGGGUGCAUUGCGUGAUGCUAUUGCUGUCGCUAUGGUUUCAUGAUUUGUUGUUGUACCCAUGAUGGAUGUUUCCAUACUAUUCCGAUCUAUCGUAUGAAUUUCAUAUUAUUGUGAUGUAAUUUCUAUUUAACAAACUCCAAAAGCAUUAGAAUUAUUGUCUUCUACUCAGAUUCACAAUAAAAAUGAGCUAUUAUCAGCCUUAGGGGCA
rnacentral:lncRNA from 1 species